AUUCAAGUUAACUGUUUUUUGUAAUAUCUUUUUGUUGUUCAUAGCUUGUGAGAUGAAUUUAUUAAGCUUAUGUUUCUUCUGGGAUAAUUGUAUACAUAAGAUAAAUCUUUGGAUUUUAGGAAUGAUGUUCUUACUUUUUUCAAUGGAACUGCGUGUCAUCUCCUGUGAAUUCAUUCUUCAUGGAUUAAAAAACAAGAAAAAAAAA
rnacentral:misc_RNA from 1 species